GCUCCAGUUAGGAAAUGUGUGGUGAACUUCCAUUAACAAUAAUUGAGCCCCUCUCCAGUGAGAUGCUGACAGGGAGGGGUGUGUUGUUAUUAAAAUGCCUUCUCCUCUAAUGUGCAGGUAAGGACCCCUUCACGGUCGCUUCUCACCAGGCCCGCUGCCAGGACCGUCUCUCGCUUUUAAGUGAGCACCUUCAUUGAGACAGAUUUAGCUCAAUUAAACCGUUUUACCUCUGCCAGGAGUGUUUCAGAGCAUCGCUGCUGCUGAGCGGCCUUUUCAAUUAGCAGCAGUGAGCAGAUUCAGCAGCGAUCCUAUUACUGUACGGCUUUGAGACUGACUGUGAAAACCGUAAACAUCACUUCUAAUGUCCUUAAUGGAGAUCGAGGAGGCUGUUAACACUUUAGAGCACGAGUAAACAAACAGACGGACCGCUGAUUAAAUAUGUGCAUAAAUACAGUAAAGAAUGGGAUUCAGGUUUGAUCAUGGUGAUGCUGCUGUUUGUAAGAUGACUCCUGAUCUGUGUUGAUUUCACAGCAAUGGUUCAUUAUUUCCUAACAACUCACUGUUGCUAUGGAUGCACCUGUAAUUACAGUCUAUGCUUGGCUCACUGUAAUUGUCCUGUCGUCCAGGCUGUAAACAUGCAUAUCUGCUGUAAAAUUGGAUGUUUGAACUUUUCGAAAAACCUCUAAAAAUAAAAAGGUAACAUGUGAUUGGACUCUAAAUUAAAUCUUCAUAAUAAAUAUUCAGUAAACUGUCUGCUGCACAUAUUUAAUGCCACACUCUUUUAAAAGCAUUUAUCAGGUGAAACAGAUAAUAUGUGGAUGAUGUUGUGUAUCUUUAAUCUUCUCUCAGAGUAAUGCUACAGCUAACUUACUAGCUGCUGCUGCUUCUUCUUCUCCUCUUCUGUGUAUGACCCAGCAUAAAGGACCACUUAAUCAAGUUUUAGAAAAUGGUUAAUAUUAAGUUCUUUCAAAAGUUUAUUUGUUUAUUGUGUGCACAUAAUUUAUUUGACAAGGACAAUAAAAAUUACUCUUUGCAACUUCUUCCAUUACAAAGAAGCUGUAGUUGCUGAUGUUUUCCAUGAAGAGAUUAUAGCUGCUGCUAGUUUCCAAAUCCUGUUAAACUUUUUCUUUUGAUUAAUUUAAAGAAAGAAGAGGAUAACGUGCGUUUUAACAUUUCUUUUACCUGUAUUUCCUCACACUGUUUCACCUCAUGAAAAUGUGCAUCAAACUUCUGGUGCUGAAUUUUCAAGGAUUUAAGAACCACUUUGAGUUUAUUACACUUUUUUUUCUAAAAUGGUUGAAAUUAGACAAAUGAUUCUGCUGUGGUUUGUGGCAGUGAUGCUCCUCCAGGUGUUUUUUUUUUUUUUAGAUCUGUGUAUUUAAAGAUGGUUUUAUAGCGAUUCAACAAUUAAAAUUAAAGAUGUUUGAGGCUCUUGGCUCCAAACUGUAACAUGAGGACAUGUGUAAAAAAGUCAUUUCAUGCAUUUGCAGCUGUGCUCUUUAGAUUGGUAUAAGGCACCUAAUCAAAUUAAAGUAAUUCAGAUGAAUUUUUACUGUUUUAGUCGGCUUAUUGAUGUGUUUUCUCAGUCAUCUGUGGCAAGUUGAAGAGUCCUUACCUGGUCCUUUGUGUAUGCAUCUGUGUGCAUGAGCAUGUGAGUGCUGUAUGUGUUGAAUGGGAGUUGGGUGGGUGGGUGGAGUUCAGUAUUUGUAUUUUUAUUUAUUUUAUUUCAUUGUUUUUCAUAUCCUGUUUGAAUGGACAGCACUUUGUGCUACAUUAUAUGUAUGAAAAGUGCUUUAAAAAUAAAGUUUGAUUGAUUGAUGGUUUGAUUAGUAAAAUUUGAGUUUGAAUACACCUAAAAAGUUUAAAUUCAUUUACCUUCUGAAUUUCUGGAAAAAGGCUAAAAAUUAGUGGGCCAGACAUUGAGCCAUGGGGGAUACCGUCAUUUAUAUCAGUAUAUUAAGACUACUUGUCUUGUUUGUUUGACCCACCCAUCGCUGUCAACCCACAUCCAAUGUAAAAUUAACAUCUCUGACUACUGCUUCAAACAGCUUCUACCCCAGGAAGUUCCUCUCUGUCUCUGGAUUUGGAGGAUUUUUUUGUUGUGCACUCACUUUUUUGCACGUUACACAUCAGCACUGCAGAGUUUGGAGUCUUUAGCUUGUUGCCUUUUUAUUUUGUGUGUUUCUGGGAAGUAAUGUCAGCUAUGUUAGUGUCAUAUCCAGUGCAUUUACCACCACAAACAGCCCGUUUCCCAUUACAGAUAGUGCAAUGUUAGUAUUGGUGAUGAAUAGGAUUAGAUUUUGUUUUGCAGAAGUUUCUCACAAUACUGGUUCCUAACUGAUCAGACAGUCCAGGAUUCAAAAACAAACUGAGAGACAAAAAAAACGUUAAAUUGUUUGUUAACUUUGUUUAAAAAGGGGACAGAUGAGCCCCAUGAGGUGCCUCUCUGUGUGUUUAACUGGAGGAAUAAAAAACUGAAACCCUGUUGAUGUUUCUUUCUGCAGCACAAUGAGAAGCAACAGACUCAAAGACGCUCAGAUGUGAAGACAUUCAGCGAGCCGCCGAGGAC
rnacentral:lncRNA from 1 species